rnacentral:lncRNA from 1 species
UGUACCACGUGACUUUUUCGCUAAUCUGGGGUGCCAAAAACAUGGCGGACUGCUCGAUAAAGACAUUUGUGUGCCAGGAAUGUGGAAAGACAUAUAAGUCCAGAAAAAGCCUUCUGCGUGGCUUUAUUUCCAGAAAGAGGCGACAGAAAUCACGGAUCUUAUAACUGCGGCAAUCGGUCUUUCCCGGACAACAUUUCUGUGCGGAAGGAUUAAAAACUAUUCCAGACUGGCGGCCAUGACAGAUGUGGGUUGGAAAUCAUAAAGAGUGACUGAAUACUUUGAUAUGUAGCAAAGACGUUCAUUGUUGAUGACAGUGUUUCUUUAUGAUUUAUUGACAUUAUUCAUCUUCAGAAAUACAGAGCUCUCAAUGCUGUAAAUUUGUUGUGAAAUUCGCCGCUGAAUCCAUGUCCAAAAGUGCUUGUUUUACUAUACAGCAAAGGAGAAAUUUUACCGGGCCGACACCAUAGAGUGAAAGUUGGUGAAUUUUUCAUUAAAUCAGUCAAAUUAAGUAUUUCACCUUAGGUAAAAUUUCACAGUUCACAGUCGGUAAAAAGCUUUCAUUUGUCAUGACCAUUUGAAUUUUAACAUACAUACAACCGGAUUUUUCUUAUGGGAAGCAGUAGAAAAACAUGGAAAAACUUAAAUGAAGCGGGUUAAUGAAAUACAAAAUACUUCCAUUACCAAAUCAUUGAAUCACGCCCCCGUCUUAGCAUCAAGAAAAACGGACCCCUGCUUAGCAAUUUGAUAAAUCCGGCAUAGGAAGCUAUUGAAGGCUCUUAAUUUGUAAUUUCUUAAAUUGUAUAUGUCAAGACAAUACUCGUACAAAUAUCCGUGUCGCAAAAAAGUCUUUUACGGCCUUUUAAAGGAUUUAUCAAUUGAAUUUGCGAAAAUGUCCCCCUUCUUAACAUCAUCAAAUUUGUUCACUUCAGUUGCGCGGUUGCACUUUAAGAGAAAACGAAUGGACUUAGAAACAAAAAACUUGUAGCCGAGUGUCGGAUUUUCAUAUGAGACGGCACUCAUCUAUGUUUCCUUUUAUUUGAACAGGCUGCCGAAAAGAGAUUUAAGAAAAUGUCACUUUUACAGAGGUAUCCGCCAUGUUUUUGGCACCCCAGAUUAGCGAAAAAGUCACGUGGUACAUGCACCCUAAGACAAUACUCGUACAAAUAUCCGUGUCGCAAAAUAGUCUUUUACGGUCUCUUAAAGGGUUUAUUUAUUGAAUUUGCGAAAAUGUCCCCCGUCUUAACAUCAUCAUAUUUGUUCACUUCAGUUGCGCGGUUGCACUUUUAGAGAAAACGAACGGACUUUGAGACAGAAAACU